GGAACCGGGAGAGGUAAGAGGUACUACAGGGGUAGGAGUGAAAUCUUGUAAUCCCUGUGGGACCACCUGUGGCGAAGGCGGUCUUACCAGAACGGGUUCGACGGUGAGGGACGAAAGCUGGGGGCACGAACCGGAUUAGAUACCCGGGUAGUCCCAGCCGUAAACGAUGCUCGCUAGGUGUCAGGCAUGGCGCGACCGUGUCUGGUGCCGCAGGGAAGCCGUGAAGCGAGCCACCUGGGAAGUACGGCCGCAAGGCUGAAACUUAAAGGAAUUGGCGGGGGAGCACAACAACGGGUGGAGCCCUGCGGUUUAAUUGGACUCAACGCCGGACAACUCACCGGGGGCGACAGCAAUAUGUAGGCCAAGCUGAAGACUUUGCCUGAAUCGCUGAGAAGAGGUGCAUGG
rnacentral:rRNA from 1 species